UUUUAAUUUAAGUCUCAUUUUUUGCUUGCUAGUCCUUAUGAUGGUUAGAUUUUAUGCACUUUGUUGCAUGUUGUUUUGUGGAACAUCUUAGCCCAUUCAAAGAACUCAAACACGGUUGACCCUGCACAUUAUUUGAAGCGAUUUCUGUUCAAACCACUUAACUUAAUGUCCACUUCAUAUCUGUAAAAUUAGCUGCCUGGUUGUCUAUUAAUUACUAUGUUAUCCAUUCGUGCUAGUGAUAAGUUACGAGAAUAGGAGUAAUUUGAACGACGGUUGUUUCAUGUGACGUUUUGCAGAAUUCAAAAUUCAGUGAGAAGUAAACAAAACACUUCAAACGAGGAGAUCGUUUUUAAUUUCGUAAACGCUUAGCAUAUGCUGUAGGAUAUUUUAUUCUGGACGCGGUACAUUCGAAUGAGGAGCUCAGAGACACCGCCGCAUUCACGCUAGAGAGCGCGCAAUCCGGUCAGUGUACAAACGGAUGGAAAAGAACGCUACAUCUUCAGACGGGUUCUUUUAAAAUAACUCUUUUUAACUUGACACGGCGAUUUUGAAAGCAACUAUGAGUGCUAAACUGUAGUCAAGCCGUAGCAUUAUUUGUUAGAAAUACCUGGUUGCGACGAAAAUAGUAUGCGUGCUUAGUAUGAUAAUUACGGUAAUGUGCAGGCAGUAACAAACAACACGCAUUCUGAGAUUGUCAACGAGUCUUUAGCAGACCCAUCACCCCCACCUCCUCAAGCAGAGUAUAUAUAACAUUGAAACUUAUUUAAAUAAUACCAGCUGAUGACUGCUGUGCAGUGGAAAUAUCGAUCAUCUUGAUAAAACCUCAGUAUAUCAUCAGGAGCAACAGGUAUUAAUUUUGUGCUCCUUGAUAUGUUUUUUCCCUCCAAAAAUGGACAGUCUCUGACUUAAAUUUUAUCAAUCACCAAAGGCCACAUUUUCAGCUAAAAAUCUUCUUUGCUGUUCUGCUGAAGAAAAAUACUCAUGAACAUCUUGGGUGGCGUAAGGAUCUUUGCAGGAUUCAGUCGCAUAUCUCGGAUCUGAGUUCUGCGCAGCACUGGACACAGACUCUGCACUUUUGACAUUUUCUAGAAAAAGGAUUUUAAAUUUCACAUCAAGUUAAUUAAAAGUCAUCUGAUGUUUCCACUGCAGUACUUCAGGGCCUUUCAGUCAUCCUGGAGGAUGACCCACAGGAAUUUUACAGGAUGUGUUUCGAUGUGGAUGCAGACUUCAGUCAAGCAGUUGUAGACCUGCUCACAGUUCUACCAGAGGACAUGCCCUCAUUGUGGAUGCAAUAAAGGCAAUCAUGGAGGGAAGAAUUGUCAUGAAUGGGUUUUAAAGGCCUGUAUUUUAUUUUUGCUGUUCUGUUUGCAUGCCAUUCUGAAAAUGCUCUAUUGUUUAACAGUGUUCCAGUGGGUCCAGAUAAUGUUAUGACAACAAAGUGCUGUUUAGUUAAGAAGUCUGUAAAGAGUAUUAUAAGAACACAGAUGUUUU